UUCUGCUGAGGAUGACCGGUCCGCCUUCGGGUGUGUAUCUGUGUUGUCUGAUGCAUCUUUCUAGAUGCGCCGUGCUUCAAUGUACGUGCGAUUUCUAGAUCUUUUACUUUGAGGAAAUUAGAGUGUUUCAAGCAGGCUUAUGCCUUGAAUACUUUAGCAUGGAAUAAUAAGAUAGGACUUCGGUUCUAUUUUGUUGGUUUCUAGAACUGAAGUAAUGAUUAAUAGGGACAAUCGGGGGCAUUCGUACUCAACAGUCAGAGGUGAAAUUC
rnacentral:rRNA from 1 species